rnacentral:rRNA from 3 species
CAACUUUCAACAACGGAUCUCUUGGUUCUGGCAUCGAUGAAGAACGCAGCGAAAUGCGAUAAGUAGUGUGAAUUGCAGAAUUCAGUGAAUCAUCGAAUCUUUGAACGCACAUUGCGCCCUUUGGCAUUCCAAAGGGCAUGCCUGUUCGAGCGUCAU